rnacentral:rRNA from 1 species
AUGCUGCGGGGCCACCUCACCCGCGCUCAGGACCGCUUCAAGAAACAAGCCAACAAGCAGCGCACAGAGCAUGCCUUCACCAUCGGCGACCAAGCCCUCCUCAAGCUUCAACCUUAUGUGCAAGUCUCCGUCGCUAGCCACCCCUGCCAGAAGCUGGCUUACAAGUAUUUCGGCCCGUUCACCAUCCUGGAGCGCAUCGGUACCGUGGCUUACCGCUUGGAGCUGUCGUGGGAUUGCCGCAUCCACCCGGUAUUCCAUGUCUCCCGGUUGAAGCACUUCAUCCCCAACUACUCGCCCAUCUACUCCGAGCUGCCCAAGAUCCCAGACUUGACAACAACACCUCUCAUUCCGGUGGCCAUCCAAGAAAGACACAUGGUCAACAAAGCCUCAGCCUCACUCACCCAAGUCCGAGUUCAGUGGUCUUCACUACCUGCGGACGCCACCACCUGGGAAGAUUACGUAGUCCUGCGCGUGUGCUUUCCAUCAGCCAGCAUCUGGGAAGACGCUGCAUCUCAAGGAGGGGCGCCUGUCACGCCUGUAGUUCAGGGCGCAUAG